UGUCUCCUCCACCUCCUCUCCUUUGGUGGAUUAAGCCCGAGCCGAACCGCUCGGGCUUUUUUCG
rnacentral:ncRNA from 1 species